rnacentral:rRNA from 1 species
UACGGAGGAUCCAAGCGUUAUCCGGAGUCAUUGGGUUUAAAGGGUCCGUAGGCGGUUUAAUAAGUCAGUGGUGAAAGCCCAUCGCUCAACGGUGGAACGGCCAUUGAUACUGUUAAACUUGAAUUAUUAGGAAGUAACUAGAAUAUGUAGUGUAGCGGUGAAAUGCUUAGAGAUUACAUGGAAUACCAAUUGCGAAGGCAGGUUACUACUAAUGGAUUGACGCUGAUGGACGAAAGCGUGGGUAGCGAACAGG